rnacentral:rRNA from 1 species
AGGGAAUUUUCCACAAUGGGCGAAAGCCUGAUGGAGCAACGCCGCGUGAGGGAUGAAGCAUUUCGGUGUGUAAACCUCUUUGGAGCGGGAAGAAUGCCGUUUGGGUGAACAGUCCAGACGGGUGACGGUACCGCUAGAACAAGACACGGCUAACUUCGUGCCAGCAGCCGCGGUAAUACGAAGGUGUCAAACGUUGUCCGGAAUUAUUGGGCGUAAAGGGCGCGUAGGCGGCCAGGUAAGUGAGAUGUGAAAGCGCUGGGCUCCACCCAGGAAUUGCAUUUCAUACUGCUUGGCUUGAGUUCGGUAGAGGAGGGCGGAAUUCCAGAAGUAGCGGUGAAAUGCGUAGAUAUCUGGAGGAACACCCGUGGCGAAGGCGGCUCUCUGGUCCGAUACUGACGCUGAGGCGCGAAAGGUAGGGGAGCAAAC